AAACACUGACUCCGUCUUCUUCAUCCUCCCAGCUCUGACUGCUUGCCUCUGCAGUCUUUGCAGGAGUCAGAGGACGGAGCUGCAGAGCCUCUGAGGCCAGAAUUAGGCCCAAUCGGGGAGGAUGCAGACAGGCACAUCAGGACCCCAUACAAAGGAAAACGUCCUAAGGGCCACAGGAAUAGGCUGCUUUAAUUGGAUACUGAGCGCCCGGUCACCACUGGAGUUCACACAAAGGCUGGAGAACGACCUGACUGAAGCAGCGGACGAAUCCUCGCCCUGGGUGACAGGAAUCCAACACCAUGUCUGAAACAUCACCAUAGAACAAGAUGGAUGGAUGUUUUCAUCACAACUAUGGAUGUUAGACCUAGAAGAAAUGCCACCCAACCUCCUCAGUUUUGUAUUUAUUUGACUGAUAAAAGAAAAACUUCAGCUGAAUUAAAUUUAAAGAAGUUUAAUUGAGCAAUGAACGAUUCGUGAAUCAAGCAGCUUUCCCAGCCGGAGUAGGCUCAGAGACUCCAGCACAGCCACAUGGGAGAAGAUUUAUGGACAGAAAAAGGAAAGUGAGGCACAGAAGCAGCUGGAUUGGUUACAGGUUGGCAUUUGCCUUAUUUCAACAUGUUCAAACAAUUGGCUACAUUUGGCCAAAAGUCAAUGAUUGGCACAAGUGUAGGCUAUGGUCUGU